UGGGGAAUUUUGGACAAUGGGCGAAAGCCUGAUCCAGCAAUGCCGCGUGUGUGAAGAAGGCCUUCGGGUUGUAAAGCACUUUUGUCCGGAAAGAAAUCCUUGGCUCUAAUACAGUCGGGGGAUGACGGUACCGGAAGAAUAAGCACCGGCUAACUACGUGCCAGCAGCCGCGGUAAUACGUAGGGUGCAAGCGUUAAUCGGAAUUACUGGGCGUAAAGCGUGCGCAGGCGGUUUGCUAAGACCGAUGUGAAAUCCCCGGCGCACCAGGCAGUGCAUUGGUGACUGGCAGGCUAGAGUAUGGCAGAGGGGGGUAGAAUUCCACGUGUAGCAGUGAAAUGCGUAGAGAUGUGGAGGAAUACCGAUGGCGAAGGCAGCCCCCUGGGCCAAUACUGACGCUCAUGCACGAAAGCGUGGGGAGCAAACAGGAUUAGAUACCCUGGUAGUCCACGCCCUAAACGAUGUCACUAGUUGUUGGGGAUUCAUUUCCUUAGUAACGUAGCUAACGCGUGAAGUUGACCGCCUGGGGAGUACGGUCGCAAGAUUAAAACUCAAAGGAAUUGACGGGGUCAUAGCUGUUUCCU
rnacentral:rRNA from 1 species